CGCAUCUGUGCAUGCAGCAUAUCAAUAAGCGGAGGAAAAGGAAACUAACAAGGAUUCCCUUAGUAACGGCGAGUGAAGCGGGAAGAGCUCAAAUUUGAAAUCUUCAAGGUUUUACCUUGACGAAUUGUAGUUUAAAGAAGUAUUUUUCUGCUGAAGUUUUGGUAAAAGUUCUUUGGAAUAGGACAUCAUAGAGGGUGAGAAUCCCGUAUUUGACCAUUAUUUUCAGCUUUGUGAUACACUUUCAAAGAGUCGGAUUGUUUGGGAAUGCAGUCCAAAAUGGGUGGUAAAUUUCAUCUAAAGCUAAAUAUUGGCGAGAGACCGAUAGCGAACAAGUACCGUGAGGGAAAGAUGAAAAGAACUUUGAAAAGAGAGUUAAACAGUACGUGAAAUUGUCAAAAGGGAAGCGUUUGACACCAGUGUUGUUUUCUCGAAAAUCAAUUAAAAAUGGCUCGAUUUUGUAUUGCUUGAGACCUUAAAAGCUCACUGUACAUUUUUCGUGUCUUUUUUAAUGCACUUUUCGUUUAACAAGUCAACAUCAGUUUCUUUUGUUGUAAAAGGGUCAUUGGAAGGUGGCUUCUUUUCGGAGAAAGUGUUUAUAGCCUUUGGCCUCUGCAAUCGGAGAGACUGAGGUCUGCAGCGUAGACUCUUCGGGGUUAGAUACAUUUGUGCUAAGUUAUAGCUUUUUAUAGACAACUUGUUGACUAUAAUUAGUCUUGUAGCUUACUCGCUUAUGCUAUUUUACCUACGCUUAGGAUGUUGACGCAUGAGAUAUACGC
rnacentral:rRNA from 1 species